ACCUCGCACGCAGCGGCCGCAACCCGCGCGGCGCCGCCGCCUCUCGCCUCUGCUUCGCCCUUCUCCUCGGGAGCAGGAGAGCUCCGCUGCCGGCUUCGUGGUCCCGCAGGUGGGUCAUGGAUGUGCUGAAUGGUAACCCGUGCCAGCCGUGCUUUGUCUGGAGGUAGUGCUGAAGGCACUGACAUUCAGCAUCCAAAGAAGUACUCUGUCAGAAAGAAACAAAAAACAAACCUGUGUUCAGUGGCUGUUUCUGAGGUUGAAUUUGCAUUUCUCCAAUCACUGUGUCAGAGCGCAAGUCGGACCUUGGGCGGAACGCUCCCCUCCGCGCCUCCGCCUGAGCGGAUGGGCUCCCUUCGUAGACAGCCGCGCGCCGCAGCGAGAGCAGCUGGAAACAUUGGGCAAUAAUAUGCAUCAGGUACCAGCAAUAUGUAAAUACAGAGCGUAGGUUGUUCACAACACACCAGUACCUUUCUGCCGUUCAGCAGAAGCUCGUUUCCGAGCGAGAUAGGAAACUCGAUUUUCAUCCUUUCUUAAACCUUUUUGAAUGUUAUACCUAUGAAAGAAAAAGAUGCUAUAUUCAGUACUUUGGAGUAAAAUAUCAUCUUUAAUAAAAAACAAAAAUUCUUCUCCUCUCUUUGAAUGAUCUGUACAAAACACGUACAUUUUAUGGCAGUUUUAGGUGCCCUGCAGCGCUUGGGGGCAGCUCUGGGCCCCUCAGCCCUGGGGAUGCACGCUGCGGCGCUGCGCUCUGGCAGAGCUCUGCUGGAGGUCCAGCAUUGCAGCUCCGUGUGCAGGCAGUGCAUGCAGCCCUUCUGCAGAGUUGGCGUGUGCAGACGCUGCUUCUGCUCUCUUUCGGUCUGGUUUUUUUGGCCUUUGCUUUUUUUCUUUUUUCUUCUUUCUCUGGUUUAUUUCCCCCUCCUCCCCCCAGCAGAGAAUUAACUACAGUGAAUGUGAACAAAUCGUUGUCGUCGCGAGAGAGGCGGUAACAGAGGAGAGGAAAGGAGAGGAGAGGCUGCCGCCCCUCUGCUCCGUGUGCCUGCAGGUUCCUUUCGGUUCGCGAGCGUAAGGAAGGAAGGCAGCUGUGGUGUUCGGAGGUGGCAUCCACGCUGCGCGCGCUGUUGAGUUGGAAGCGUCACGGUUACAAACGCGUCGUGUUUGGUGAGCAGUGAGGAGUACGUGUGGUGUGUGUCAUAGUCCUGUAGCACUGGGCAGAAUCUGCACUCUGGGUAAAGCAGGGAGAAUGGCGACUUGUGUCCCUUCAGUGCCUUAUCACGGUGCGUGCGUCCGCGCGGGGCGUCGCGCUCGGGGCUGCACGGGGCGACAGGAGCGGCCUUAAGGAGGGCAGCGGGGAUGCGCCGGAGGCCGGUGCCGUGUUGGGCUUCAAAACGCCCUUGCCCUUUUUGCUACGACAGGUCAGGAAUAGGAGGAAGUGCCUGGGUGAGGGUCAGCCCGCUCCCGCUCCGUAGCGCUGGGCGAGGGCUGGGGCCGCGGCUCUGGGGGAGCGCCGUCGGCGUGCCGCGGCCCGGCACCGCGCAGACCCUGCGGCUGCUUUCGGUGUCACAUAGGAACCAAACGCGGGGGGAAGGAGCGGAACCGCUCCCGAGGAUGGGAGGCGUGGGUGCUGGGGAGGCUGAGCGCGAAACACCCCGCCUCCACCAAGCGCGGGACAGCUGCGUCGGCCGUGUGUCAGUACUCUAUUUUGUAUAUUCAAAGAAAGAUAUAUAACGGGGACAAAUCCUAUAUCGUACCGGUGUAUGGCAUUAUUACAAAAAAAAAAAAAAUCAUUAUUUUUAUCACAGUAAUUUUAAACAGCAUAAAAAAAUAAAAUUAAACCAGUGACUCCUGUUUAAAAAUGAAAGUUGUAGUUUUUUAUUCAUGCUGAAUAAUUCUGUAGUAACAAGUCUGUAGUUUUCACCGACUCAGUGAAAUGUUGGACUGUAAAAGCUUGUGUGGAAUUGUUGAGCAUUUAUUUUUUCAUUUAAAUUUGCUGUUCUGGUAAUACAAAGCCACACAUCUGUACAGAAGUUGCAGUAAAUGUGAGCCAUUUACAGCAAUGCCGAGUAAUGGACAGAAACCAUACAAUAAAAUUCUGCUUUUUUCAUUAAA